CCUACGGGAGGCUGCAGUGGGGGAUAUUGGGCAAUGGAGGCAACUCUGACCCAGCAACGCCGCGUGAGUGAUGAAGGUCUUCGGAUCGUAAAGCUCUGUGAUGGGGGAUGAACACAAUGACGGUACCCCAAUAGCAAGCCGCGGCUAACUACGUGCCAGCCGCCGCAGUAAUACGUAGGUGGCCAGCUUUAUGCGGUAUGACUGGGCGUAAAGGGUGCGUAGGGGGUUGUGGAAGUCGGCGGUGUAAUUCCGGGGCCCAACCCCGGCGCUACCGUCAAAACUAUUAGACUGGAGUGCAGGAGGGGUAAGUGGAAUUCCUAGUGUAGCGGUGGAAUGCGUAGAUAUUAGGAGGAACACCAGGGGCGAAGGCGACUUACUGGACUGCAACUGACGUUGAGGCACGAAAGUGUGGGUAUCAAACAGGAUUAGAUACCCUGGUAGUC
rnacentral:rRNA from 1 species